rnacentral:tRNA from 1 species
GUCCUUGUGGCCUAAUGGAUAAGGCGUUGGCCUCCGGAGCCAAAGAUUGUGGGUUCAAGUCCCAUCAAGGACG